rnacentral:rRNA from 1 species
GAUGAACGCUGGCGGCGUGCCUAGUACAUGCAAGUCGAGCGAACAGACGAGGAGCUUGCUCCUCUGAUGUUAGCGGCGGACGGGUGAGUAACACGUGGAUAACCUACCUAUAAGACUGGGAUAACUUCGGGAAACCGGAGCUAAUACCGGAUAACAUGUUGAACCGCAUGGUUCAACAGUGAAAGACGGUUUUGCUGUCACUUAUAGAUGGAUCCGCGCCGCAUUAGCUAGUUGGUAAGGUAACGGCUUACCAAGGCAACGAUGCGUAGCCGACCUGAGAGGGUGAUCGGCCACACUGGAACUGAGACACGGUCCAGACUCCUACGGGAGGCAGCAGUAGGGAAUCUUCCGCAAUGGGCGAAAGCCUGACGGAGCAACGCCGCGUGAGUGAAGAAGGUCUUCGGAUCGUAAAACUCUGUUAUUAGGGAAGAACAAAUGUGUAAGUAACUAUGCACGUCUUGACGGUACCUAAUCAGAAAGCCACGGCUAACUACGUG